rnacentral:rRNA from 1 species
GACGAACGCUGGCGGCGUGCCUAAUACAUGCAAGUAGAACGCUGAAGGAGGAGCUUGCUUCUCUGGAUGAGUUGCGAACGGGUGAGUAACGCGUAGGUAACCUGCCUGGUAGCGGGGGAUAACUAUUGGAAACGAUAGCUAAUACCACAUAAGAGUAGAUGUUGCAUGACAUUUGCUUAAAAGGUGCACUUGCAUCACUACCAGAUGGACCUGCGUUGUAUUAGCUAGUUGGUGGGGUAACGGCUCACCAAGGCGACGAUACAUAGCCGACCUGAGAGGGUGAUCGGCCACACUGGGACUGAAACACGGCCCAGACUCCUACGGGAGGCAGCAGUAGGGAAUCUUCGGCAAUGGACGGAAGUCUGACCGAGCAACGCCGCGUGAGUGAAGAAGGGUUUCGGAUCGUAAAGCUCUGUUGUAAGAGAAGAACGAGUGUGAGAGUGGAAAGUUCACACUGUGACGGUAUCUUACCAGAAAGGGACGGCUAACUACGUG